rnacentral:rRNA from 1 species
UUUUUAAAAGACCUAGCAAUAGGUAUGCUUAGGGAAGAGCUUGCGUCACAUUAGUUAGUUGGUGGGGUAAUGGCCUACCAAGACGAUGAUGUGUAGCCGGGCUGAGAGGUCGAACGGCCACAUUGGGACUGAGACACGGCCCAAACUCCUACGGGAGGCAGCAGUAAGGAAUUUUCGGCAAUGGAGGAAACUCUGACCGAGCAAUGCCGCGUGAACGAUGAAGUAUUUCGGUACGUAAAGUUCUUUUAUUAGGGAAGAAAAGAUGGUGGAAAAACCAUUAUGACGGUACCUAAUGAAUAAGCCCCGGCUAACUAUGUGCCAGCAGCCGCGGUAAUACAUAGGGGGCAAGCGUUAUCCGGAAUUAUUGGGCGUAAAGGGUGCGUAGGCGGUUAAAUAAGUUUAUGGUCUAAGUGCAACGCUCAACGUUGUGAUGCUAUAAAAACUGUUUAGCUAGAGUUGGAUAGAGGCAAGUGGAAUUCCGUGUGUAGUGGUAAAAUGCGUAAAUAUACGGAGGAACACCAGAAGCGAAGGCGGCUUGCUGGGUCUUAACUGACGCUGAGGCACGAAAGCGUGGGGAGCAAACAGGAUUAGAUACCCUGGUAGUCCACGCCCUAAACGAUGAGUACUAAACGUUGGAUAAAACCAGUGUUGAAGUUAACACAUUAAGUACUCCGCCUGAGUAGUACGUACGCAAGUAUGAAACUUAAAGGAAUUGACGGGACUCCGCACAAGCGGUGGAUCAUGUUGUUUAAUUCGAAGGUACCCGAAAAACCUCACCAGGUCUUGACAUGCUUUUGCAAAGCUGUAGAAAUACAGUGGAGGUUAUCAGAAGCACAGGUGGUGCAUGGUUGUCGUCAGCUCGUGUCGUGAGAUGUUGGGUUAAGUCCCGCAACGAGCGCAACCCUUGUUGUUAAUUGCCAUCAUUAAGUUGGGGACUUUAGCAAGACUGCCAAUGAUAAAUUGGAGGAAGGUGGGGACGACGUCAAAUCAUCAUGCCCCUUAUGACCUGGGCUACAAACGUGAUACAAUGGCUGUUACAAAGGGUAGCUAAAGCGUAAGCUUCUGGCGAAUCUCAAAAAAGCAGUCUCAGUUCGGAUUGAAGUCUGCAACUCGACUUCAUGAAGUUGGAAUCGCUAGUAAUCGCGAAUCAGC